rnacentral:lncRNA from 1 species
AUUCGAGGCGACGGGCUCCGGGCCCUGAUAGAUGGGGUGCGGGGACGGAGACAAAUGACGGCCUUUGGGCUCGGAAUACCCACCUUUCUGGUAAUGCAGCCCAGCGGGUCCCAGCCUCGUUUUCCAGCCCUCACUCAAAAUGGAGUCGCUCUGGUUCGAACGCCUCUGACAAGUGUGUACCUACGUGUCAGGAUUUGCCGGGUGCUGGGCCCCAGAAGCCAGCCCUCCUGACGUGUGGCGGCCGUCCUCACCGCUCCCUCCUUCCCUGCAGCAUUCCCCAGCCCCCGGCCCACCCUCCUCCCACCCGCUUCCUGACCCAGGCUCCCGGGCCUUCCCCUCGUGGCCACCUAGCUGUGUGCUUUGUUUGGCUGCUGUCACCCCCAGGAAGGUGAUCCCCGUGAGAACUCAAAUAGCAGAUGCUCAUCUGGGACCCCCGCCUCCAGCCCCAGGGGAGGUUUCCUGGUCCUCACUGUGGCCGGGGCAUGGCUCCUUCACCCCGGGGCUCACCCUCGGUGUCCGUGAAGUCCAGCCGACGGUGACCCUAAGUCCUCCCUCCACUCGCCUAUGUUUGGGGAUAGCCCAUCCUUCCUGCAGGCCUUUGUCUUGGUGUCACCCUGCCUGAGCUGGCCCCAACCACAGUAGCAACAGUGAUGCUGAUGUGUGACUGCUGCCAGGAGCCUGCUCACAUGACCGUGUGGAGAAAGUUCUUUCCCUGAGGACCAUCUGGAGUGGACGCGUGCACUACCCCUCUCUGAAUACACCCUCCCCACGAGGCCCUCUGGAGCAUCCUGUAGAGCCAGCCCCUACCCAGAGACCCUGAGCCCAGAGAAUGCGCUGGGUGGUGAGCCUGGGGACGAAUGCAGAGCCCUAGGUCUCCUCUCCAGAAAGACCGGAUUUUGCCAUGUUGGCCAGGCUGGUCUUGAACUCCUGACCUCAAGUGAUCCACCUGCCUCGGCCUCCCAAAGUGCAGGGAUUACAGGUGUGAGCCACUGCACCCGGCCUCAGGCAGGUAUUUUUACCAGCCGAAUACUCUUGCACUGUGCACUCUUCGUGUUCAUCAUCAGUCCCCCGGAUGGGUGUUUAAGGCAUUUCCAAAGCUCUGUUAUUAAAAACACGAUGCAAUGAGUUUCUUUCAGCAUUUCCCCUUGUUGCCGUGUGAAUGCGUCCGUGGUAUAACUUCCUAAAAGUGGAAUCGCUUGGUCAAAGGGUGGGUGCAUUUAGCAACCUGAUGGCUUUCCAGGAGACAAGUGCUGCCUCCCG